GACGAACGCUGGCGGCGUGCUUAACACAUGCAAGUCGAACGGAAAGGCCCUGCUUGCAGGGUGCUCGAGUGGCGAACGGGUGAGUAACACGUGGGUGAUCUGCCCCUUACUUUGGGAUAAGCCUGGGAAACUGGGUCUAAUACUGGAUAGGACCAUGCUGUAGGUGGUGUGGUGGAAGGAUUAGUUUCGGUAAGGGAUGAGCUCGCGGCCUAUCAGCUUGUUGGUGGGGUAAUGGCCUACCAAGGCGUCGACGGGUAGCCGGCCUGAGAGGGUGGACGGCCACAUUGGGACUGAGAUACGGCCCAGACUCCUACGGGAGGCAGCAGUGGGGAAUAUUGCACAAUGGGCGCAAGCCUGAUGCAGCGACGCCGCGUGGGGGAUGACGGCCUUCGGGUUGUAAACUCCUUUCAGCCAUGACGAAGCCCUUGUGGUGACGGUAGUGGUAGAAGAAGCACCGGCUAACUACGUG
rnacentral:rRNA from 1 species